rnacentral:tRNA from 1 species
AGGAUAAUAGUUUAAUUUAAAACAUUUGAUUUGCAUUCAAAAAAUAUUACUUAAUAAUUUAUCUUA